rnacentral:rRNA from 1 species
UACGGAGGGUGCGGGCGUUGUCCGGAAUCAUUGGGCGUAAAGGGCGCGUAGGUGGCCCGGUCAGUCCGUGGUGAAAGCGCGGGGCUCAACCCUGCGUCGGCCAUGGAUACUGCCGCGGCUGGAGCACUGUAGAGGCAGGCGGAAUUCCGGGUGUAGCGGUGGAAUGCGUAGAGAUCCGGAAGAACACCGGUGGCGAAGGCGGCCUGCUGGGCAGUAGCCGAAAGGCUUUCAAGCUGACACUGAGGCGCGACAGCGUGGGGAGCAAACAGG